CUCCUACGCCGUGAAUCCAUUCCCUACCAAGCAGCAGGUUGUAGUUGGCUUUCGAAGCGAUGACUAUGAACAUCGUAGGUCUUGUUAUGGUUCCUACAGUUAAGUUCACUUGGAUGACUCCCAUAGUUGUUCCUAUCUUCCCUUCGUAAUUCGACAGCACCAUGUUGUGGGGCUUCGCGUCCGAAUCGUCUUUUCCAAUCUUCUUCAGCAUGUAGUGGGGCAUCAAAUUCACUGCCGCUCCCCCGUCCACCAGUAUCUUAUUCACGCCGACAUUUUCCACCUUUCC
rnacentral:lncRNA from 1 species